rnacentral:miRNA from 1 species
UCCUUCUCGCGGAUAGCGUAGAUGU